rnacentral:piRNA from 1 species
UUGGAUGGAGUAGCACAGUCGUCG